CUCAUGAAGAAUGCUAGAAGACUGCAAUAAACAUCUCUAAGGCAUUCACGAAACAAAAACAGAACCUCUUCAUUGGGUGUGUCAUCCAGAAGGUUCUGUUUAUCAGAGAAAAUUUACCUCCAAAUAGUAGGAGUCUCACCACUUCCUGGAUAAGUUCUUUGUGCUCUGUACGCCUAAGUUAUUUCAUCCACCAGGUUCAGGAACACAUUUGUUUUUAAGUGAAGACAGCCAUGGCCCGGUUGGUCAUCCUUCCCUAGUCUCCUUAGUAGGGCCUGUAGAAUAAGCUCUCUCCACCCUUCACUCGAUUCAUGUCCAAGCUUCAAAAGCCACCUCUACAGAUGACAUCUCAGGAUGCUCUUUGGCCAUGCCUGACUGCUCUGUGGAAUUGGCCUCCUGCCUCUUCCAACCUGAAUCUGGAUCCUCACCAAGUAUCGCUUGCAUUAUCUGGCUGUAAGACUGAAAACAUCAACAUCACUCAAGCCAAAGAAGCAAGCCAGACACUGCUGUCAUCCCCAAGACCACAAUGUAGUAUGGAAGAUCUGAAAGUUGGCUCAAUGAGGUAUUGACUCAAAUUCUUGCUGGAACA